rnacentral:rRNA from 1 species
GACGAACGCUGGCGGCGUGCUUAACACAUGCAAGUCGAACGGUAAGGCCCUUCGGGGGACCCGAGUGGCGAACGGGCGAGUAACACGUGAGUAAUGUGCCCUCCACUCUGGGAUAAUAGCCGGAAACGGUGGCUAAUACCGGAUAUACACAUGUUCCUGCAUGGGUGUGUGUGCAAUGCUUUUGCGGUCUUGGCUCGACUCGCGGCCUAGGAGCUUGUUGGUGGGGGAUUGGCCUACCAAGGCCGCGAUGGGUAGCCGACCUGGGAGGGCGACCGGCCACACUGGGACUGCGAUACGGCCCAGAAUCCUACGGGAGGCAGCAGUGGAGAAUAUUGCACAAUGGCCGGGAGCCUGAGGCAGCGACGCCGCGUUCGUGAUGCCGGCCUUCGGGUUGUAAACAGCUUUCAGUAGAAACGUGGCGCAAGUGACGGUACCUACAGAAGAAGCACCGGCCAACUACGUG